AGUGAACGCUGGCGGUAGGCCUAACACAUGCAAGUCGAACGGCAGCACAGUAAGAGCUUGCUCUUACGGGUGGCGAGUGGCGGACGGGUGAGGAAUACAUCGGAAUCUACUUUUUCGUUGGGGAUAACGUAGGGAAACUUACGCUAAUACCGCAUACGACCUACGGGUGAAAGCAGGGGAUCUUCGGACCUUGCGCGAUUGAAUGAGCCGAUGUCGGAUUAGCUAGUUGGCGGGGUAAAGGCCCACCAAGGCGACGAUCCGUAGCUGGUCUGAGAGGAUGAACAGACAAAAUGGGAAGGAGAAAAGGGCCAGAAUCCUAAGGGAGGCAGAAGGGGGGAAAUUUGGAAAAAGGGGGGAAGGCCGAACCAGACAAGCCCGGGGGGGGAAGAAGGGCUUUGGGUUUUAAAACCCUUUUGGUGGGAAAAAAAAAAAAAGAGUUAAAAACCCCGGGGUAUGAAGGGACCAAAAAAAAAAGCAAACGAUAAAUUUGGG
rnacentral:rRNA from 1 species